CGUCAGCUCGUGUCGUGAGAUGUUGGUUAAGUCCCGCAACGAGCGCAACCCCUACGUUUAGUUGCUAACGCGUGAAGGCGAGCACUCUAGACGAACUGCCGUUGACAAAACGGGAGGAAGGUGGGGAUGACGUCAAAUCAUCAUGCCCCUUAUGUUCUGGGCUACACACGUGCUACAAUGGCCGGUACAGACGGACGCAAAGCCGCGAGGUGGAGCAAAUCCUAAAAAAGCCGGUCUCAGUUCGGAUUGCAGGCUGCAAUUCGCCUGCAUGAAGUCGGAAUCGCUAGUAAUCGCAGGUCAGCAUACUGCGGUGAAUACGUUCCCGGGCCUU
rnacentral:rRNA from 1 species